rnacentral:lncRNA from 1 species
UCCCUGGGGUCCGGGUCGCCGUCGAAAGACAUCUGCCGUGCUGCCCACCCCGCGGUGGCGUGGGACGUGGCAGUGUCUGUGCUGCUGCCAGCCCGGACGCCGCCGUUACAGCUCCAUGCGACUAGGGGAGCAAGGGUAGUGGAAACGGGCCGAGAAGAAAAGGAGCGGAGGGACCCCGGAGCAGGGAUAGAGCUCCGAGUUGCAAGAAAGUUCUAGAGGCCACAAGCCCGCGGGGACAGUCGAGUGGUCGCUUAUGGAACUUUCCGGCCCCCUGCGUGAGCGCUUCUGUGGGAUGUUUAAGCUCUGCCAUAGCCACGUGGUGAACCGGAAGGGAAGCCGACACGUGCAGUAGCCUACAGUCAGUUACCCAGCCAUGGGACCCAUACAUUUGGCCUUACACACCUUGUUUUCUCGCUUACCUACGGAUAUACGUUCUAAGAAAUGGGUCGUUAGGCGAUUUCAUCAUUGUGUGAACAUCAGAGUUCACUUAUGCAUCAGGACUGAUCCAACAGCAAC